UACGUAGGGCGCAAGCGUUGUCCGGAAUCAUUGGGCGUAAAGAGCUCGUAGGCGGUUUGUCGCGUCGAAUGUGAAAACCCGGGGCUCAACCCCGGGCCUGCAUUCGAUACGGGCAGACUAGAGUUCGGUAGGGGAGUCUGGAAUUCCUGGUGUAGCGGUGAAAUGCGCAGAUAUCAGGAGGAACACCGGUGGCGAAGGCGGGACUCUGGGCCGAUACUGACGCUGAGGAGCGAAAGCGUGGGGAGCGAACAGG
rnacentral:rRNA from 1 species